AAACAAACGCAGUGAGAAAAACUAUAAUUUUUGUUCAAAGUUAUCUUGAGAUUCUAUAGCUUUCUGCAAAAAUGGCAUCCAAUGCGAUAAACUCUUCGAUGAUGACGGUAAAUUUGCAGCUUGCCGAUUUUUUUCAAUACGUCGGAGGAGGAAGCAGGUUGAUAGUCGAAGGUGAACGGGUGUUUCAAGCUAACCACUUGCUUCUUGUCGGAGUUCAAACCGUGCACGAGGACGGCUUUACCAUAUUUGCGACUUGUUUGAAGUCAUCAUCACCUAGAGCUGAUCCACACAAAAUUUCCAUCCGCACCAGACCUUCCUUUGAAAAGUGGUCUUUUCAGUGUUCGUGCAAAGCUGGAAUGGGAAAAUGCAAACACAUAAUGGCCGUUUUAAAACAUCUUCUAAUGGGUUCCCUUCAGUUCCAUUGCUUACAGUAACAGAUUUGCAACAAAAGUGGGGUAAAAUUGCAGAAAAAGUUGCUGACGAUAUGUACAAGACAACACCAUUGACCGCAUUCUGCAAAAAAAUGACGAAUACAAAAGAUACGACUGAAGCUGCCUCGCCGGCGGGUUUGACUCACGAUGAGGGUACCAACAUUCUUCAGCUUUUCGUGAAAGGAUUCCCUGAAAGCGGUCUGGCAUACGAAAAGAAAGGACGAGAAAUGAAAAAUAUUGACAAAAAUGAUGAAUCUGAUGUUCUGAAUACACUUCUCGAUAUA